rnacentral:rRNA from 1 species
AUUGAACGCUGGCGGCAGGCCUAACACAUGCAAGUCGAGCGAGCGGCGGACGGGUGAGUAAUGUCUGGGAAACUGCCUGAUGGAGGGGGAUAACUACUGGAAACGGUAGCUAAUACCGCAUACCAUCAGAUGUGCCCAGAUGGGUUUAGCUAGUGGGUGGGGUAACGGCUCACCUAGGCGACGAUGCCUACAGGGUCUGAGAGGAUGACCAGCCACUCUGGAACGGAGAACCGGUCCAGAUUCCUCCGGGAGGCGGCAGUGGGAAAUAUUGCAGAAUGGGGGCAGGCCUGAUGCAGCAAGCCCGCGUGUGUGAAGCGGGCCUUCGGUUGGUAAAGCACGUUCAGCGGGGCGGCGUUACCCGCAGAAGAAGCACCGGCUAACUCCGUGCCAGCAGCCGCGGUAAUUC